rnacentral:tRNA from 2 species
GGUACUGUGGCCGAGUUGGUCAAGGCACCGGACUGAAAAUCCGGCUAUGUCAGUUCGAAUCUGACUGGUACCA